ensembl:lncRNA
ACAAGGAAGUCCUCUGAGAAGAGAAUUCACACAUACACAAAUUUCUGGAACAAGAGCUGUGGAUGAGAAAAUAGGAACCCCCAGCUUCCCAAGGACAAAGCUGAGACAAGAUGAAGUGAAAACUCUGUGAGCUCCUCACGGGAGAAUUGAGGCUGAGUGGGGCAGUGAGGAUUCCCCGCCAGACACACAGACGAUGUGCGUGAGGUUUAACCUCUGAAUGUGAAACCUGAGAAAGAAAUUCUGUGUUACUAUGCCACAUAAUACAAAAUGAGGGCUGAACUCGCUCCUGGGAGAGAAAAAUCAUUUUAAAACAAAAAAUGACAGAAAUUGAAUUUCAUUCCUCUAAUGCACAACCUCUGGUUAAAUGUCUGAGAGUCUAGCCUCUGGUGUUUUCUGUUUUCAGUCACUUGUGUUAACUGUUUAAUGAAUAUUUCGGAUAGCAUGGUGGUGUGAUUAAGCAGAGAUCUUAGGGAAAAAUCCAAGUUCUCACUGUUCUGCCCACUUAGGAGAGCUCCUGAGGGGAUAAGGUGACUAGUACCACCCAGGAUGUGGAGUCAUCUCUUCCUGUAUUUUCUUGAACUAUGUGGAAUUGAGUCAGUUGCAUAAUUUCUCAGUAAAGGAGUAAGAAUUUGUGCUGAGAAGGUCAGCACCCAGGCUCUGAAUUAGACAUCAUUUCUAUGAAAAGCCUGUUUCUUACUAAGCAGCUCAUUUUGCUUAGCUUCUUGGCUGUUGAUCCCUGGCUUACCUGCGUAGUCUGGACAACAUCUUCCCCUUCCUUUUCCUAGGCUGCCCUCAUACAGCUUGCCCAAUUUUGUAAAAUCCAAACAUGAAUCAAGGGCUUCAAAAACAUGGCUGCUCUCCUUGGACCUAGCUCAACUCCUAGCAAUCUUAAAUACGUGAAAUAAGGAGAAAGUGCUUAAAGAACUUGUAGGCUCAAAUGUACGCAUUUCAUCACUAUAAUUCUAAAACGUUGAAACAGAUAAUUUUGAGAGAUAGUUUAUUCAGUCCCUAUGUGUUAAAGGUCGGUUCUGCAUCCAGAAUUGCACACUGAAGAGACUUAUGAGCCAAUUCAACUCUAAAGGAAAGGUUAAUUCGAUGGAGGACAUUUCAAGUAAAAUAUAUGUAAUAACAUGGGAAAAGCAUCCAAGAUGUAUUGUUAAAUAGAAAUGAUCAGGAUAUGAAAUUAUUUACAAAGAAUGAGUAAACCUAUUUUUUAAAGAGGAAAUGUAAGAAAAAAGUAUGCAGAAUAAUAAUGAAAAAAGAAACACUUUCAGAGAAUACAUGAAUAGUAACAAAGAUUGACAAAGUAACGAAGACUUUUUAAACAAAGUGGACUGUUUCUUUUUCUUUCUAUUUUCAUCUAUCUUUCAGUUUUCAUUAUUAACAUAUUACUCUAGUAAUGGAAAAGUCAUGCUCACAGAAUAAUGGUGUGAAAUCCCAUUUGUAGACUGAACUGCUUAAAAAGAAAAAAAAAUACAUUGAUGGAGGUAUGUCAAAGGUACACAUAAGCCAACUGAAAGAUCCCCCAAGGGCCAAAGCUGGAAAAAUGUGAAUCAUCACACCCACCUCCUCAAGUUCUCACUGUGCAAAGUGACUUCCUUCCAAGGAGAAAAGUGUAGAAAAGGAGGGGAAAGGCACGUUGACAGUGGGGAGACAGGAAGCCUGACAAGCACCCCUCAGCUGGGAGAGGAAGGUCAAUGGACACAGUGAUUGAUCACAUCGAUAGUGUGACUUGUGGACACUUAUGAAUUGGGAAAGCAGCACAGAAGAAUAUACAUCACCAUAUGUCCAAUAGAUAGCAGGUGGGAAUUUGCUGAAUGACAUGGGGAGCAGUGUUCUGUGACAACCUAGA